ACGUCAAUUUUCUCUGACAGGGAAUGCUCAGCCCCUGCUGCAGCAGCUUUUCUGCUGCCCUCUGUGUAAAAUGAGAACUUCCAGGAAUGUUAGCAGAAGGCAAGCAGAAAUGUCAGAGCACUGCUUUGUAGCAGCACUGCUCACCCCCGAACUUCUGCUCGGAUAUGACUGGACACUGAGCCCUGGAGAGGACACAUUGGUGGUAGAGGUCUGGGCAGCAGAUCCCAUCCAAGGAGGUGACGCUCAGGAUGCCCUUUCUAUCCCCUGCCAAGCAGCUGAGGAGCUCUUAUUACACAGCAGACAACACCAACAGGUUCUGCUUGUCAAUGCUUGUUAGAGACUCUGGAAUCAGGCUGGACUUCCCAUCAAGAGCUGGUGAGGCUGCACUCAGGAGCCAGAGAGGAAAAGGAAGGAAACAACUUCUGCAAUG